UCCAAUGGAGCAUCAUCUUCUUUGUACUUUUUCAUCUUUCCUAUUUCUCUUCUUAUUCAGUUAUAUUCCUAUCACUAGCCAGCUCCCAUAUGGUAGCAGCAGCAAACAAGCUCAUAAUUAUUCGAAUGUCUCCUGUGUUGAGAAUGAACGACAAACUCUUCUUCAAUUCAAGCAUGAGUUGAUAGAUGGAUCAAAUCGUCUGUCAUCUUGGAUUGGAGAAAGCUGUUGUUCAUGGGAAGGUAUUAGUUGCCACAACACAAAACCACUGGUAGUGUUUUGAAACUUGAUCUAUGCAAUACGGUGCCAUUUUAUGAUUCUGAUGAUGGUUAUCAUUGGACAAAUUGCUUGGGAGGCCAAUUGAGUCCAUCUUUGGUCAAUUUGACCAAUUUGAGAUACUUGGACCUGAGCUCAAAUAAUUUUUCAGGAAUCCAAGUUCCCGCAUUUCUUGGAUUGUUGAAAAACUUGAGAUACCUCAAUCUCGCAAGCGCAGGAUUUGAUGGUGAAAUUCCCCGUCAUUUAGGAAAUCUCUCGCAUUUACGGUAUUUAGAUCUUGGAUAUUCAGGUUUCUCAUUGAGCACUAAGGAUCUCGGAUGGGUUGCUGGGCUCUCUUCUCUAGAAGGCCUAGUCCUGUCCACGGUGAGCGUUAUAGACGCUCGAGAUGGGUUACAAUCAAUUAACAUGCUUCCUUCACUAACAACACUAGACUUAAAUGGUUGUGGUCUUUUCAUCCAUCCUCAUCUUUCACAUGUCAAUUUCACAUCUCUUGCUUUCCUUGAUCUCGUCGUAAAUAAUUUCAACAACAACAUGGUCCCUUCUUGGGUCUGUAAUCUUACUGGCCUCCAUGAUCUUCGUUUUGGUAAUAAUAAUCUUUAUGAUCCAAUUCAUGGCCUGUUUGACCAAAUGACCUCUCUAGUUUAUCUCGAUCUAUCUCCAAACCGCUUUGAUGCUUCAACGUUGAAAUCACUUUGUAAUGCAAGCAGUCUUACUUAUUUGGAUCUGAGUGAUAAUAAUUUGCAAGGGUCAAUACCAAGUGAAAUAGGCCAACUUAUAAAUCUUACUUAUUUGGAUCUGAGCGGCAAUAAUAUGCAAGGGUCAAUACCAAGUGAAAUAGGUCAGCUUCCAAAACUAACAAGGCUAUUAUUGUCAUCUAAUAAAUUAAAUGGUACCAUACCAAUCAAUCUUGGGCAGCUGACGAAGCUACAAGAUUUUGACGUUGGAGACAAUUCAUUGACCGGGGUCCUAUCUGAAGACCAUUUUGCGAAACUACGAGAGCUGAAGUCACUGGACCUAACUGGAAACUCACUCGCUCUGAACGUGAGCUCCUCAUGGAUUCCUCCUUUUCAACUCCGUGAAAUUCAGAUGCAAUCCAUCAUAGUGGGACCUAGGUUUCCAGCUUGGCUUCGGACACAGAAGGGGCUUGAGGUUUUAGACAUACGGAAAGCGAGCAUUUCAGAUGCCAUACCCAACUGGUUUCUCUCUAAAAACAAAUCGUCCACUGUGCGCAGCUGGUUAUAUCUUUCACAAAAUUUUCUUACUGGACAUAUUCCGCAGCUUCAUCAUGCGCUGAGCAUUCUCUCUCUGAAUGAUAACCGUUUCACAGGUACUAUCCCUGAAGAUUUGUGCAAGUUGGAAAAUUUAUAUAUUCUGGAUCUAUCCAACAAUCUUCUGUCCGGAAGAGUUCCUCUGUGUCUAGGAAACUUGCAACCUGAAGCACCUAAAGUUGGCAAAUAACAGUCUAUCCGGUCAAAUUCCGAUUUCACUGGGUAACUUGUAGCAACUUUAUGCUCUGCAUUUGAAUGGAAAUAAAUUCGUUGGAAAGCUCCCGUCAUCAAUGCAGCUUCUGAGCACUUUGGUAAGUUUUGAUCUCGGUAACAAUGGACUAAAUGAUAUUAUACCAGCUUGGAUUGGGGAAAGGUUAUCAAAUUUAAGGAUUCUAAGAUUUCAGUCAAAUAACUUCCAUGAACCUAUUUCUGAUACAAUCUACCAACUCUCAGGUCUUCGAGUUCUAAACCUAGCACAUAAUAACUUGAGUGGAUUUAUUCCUCACUGCUUUAACAACAUUAGUGCCAUGAUGGUAUCAGGGCCAGAUGGACUUUACGACAUUUAUGGACAAGAUAGCCUUCAAGACAUUAAGGGAGGAAGAGAAGAUGAGUUUGACUCAGGGGACCUUCGGCUUCUUAGAUCCGUAAGCCUCUCAGCAAAUAAUUUAGUUGGCGAGAUCCCUGAUGGGUUAAUGGAGCUGGUUCAAUUGCAAGUUUUGAAUCUUUCACAAAAUCAUUUGACUGGAAGGAUCCCCAAGAAGAUUGGCAACUUGAAGCAACUUGAAACAUUUGAUCUUUCAAUGAAUGCACUCUCCGGUGCAAUCCCUGAAAGCUUAUCUGAUUUGUACUCAUUGAACUCUCUGAAUUUGUCACACAAUAAAUUUUCAGGGCCAAUACCAUCAGGAAAUCAACUUCAGACCUUGACCGAUCCAUCCAUCUAUGAAGGAAACAGUGGACUCUGUGGCAAACCGCUCCCAAACAGUUGCUGGGAACACAAAUUGCCUACCAAAAAUAGGCCUAUUGAUGAUGAUGAAGUCCAUGGCGAGUCUGAUUGGUCUUGGUUUUAUGCUGGAAUAGGACCGGGUUUUGUUGUCGGGCUUUUGGGAGUUCUGGGAAUCCUUCUCUUCAAGAAGUCAUGGCGCUAUGCAUACUUCAAGUUUAUAGAAAGCGUCUGUGACAAAAUCUGGGUAAAGACUACUCGCCUGAGGAGGAAUUUCCGUUGAGCCCACAAUCAUUCAAGUGCUUGCUGCUGCUGUUGUGGCCCUCAGAAUAAGCAAUUUCUUCUAGGUGAUUUGAGAAGCAGUAAUAGUUUCACUGUUUUUUUCUGUAUGGUUAUAUUUUGAGUACUAGCUGUUUUUCAGGUUUUUUUUGGCAUCUGCUGAUGUAAUAUGAAAAAUUAGACGUCCUUUUAUUUGCUAUGAAUUGUAUGUCAAUAAAAGUUAUAAUAGUUUGCCUAA